CGUGAAAUAAAUCACAAUACAAAUACCCCCUUUAUUUGAUUGUGUGAAUUUCUCCUUUUGAUUGCGCUGAGAAAAGCCGUGGCAUUGUGCCGCGGCUUUUUUCGUAU
rfam:Listeriaceae bacterium FSL A5-0281 contig000001, whole genome shotgun sequence.